rnacentral:rRNA from 1 species
AUUGAACGCUGGCGGCAUGCUUUACACAUGCAAGUCGAGCGGCAGCGCGGGGCAACCUGGUGGCGAGUGGCGAACGGGUGAGUAAUGCAUCGGAACGUGCCAUUGAGUGGGGGAUAACGUAGCGAAAGUUGCGCUAAUACCGCAUAUUCUGUGAGCAGGAAAGCAGGGGACCGCAAGGCCUUGCGCUCUUUGAGCGGCCGAUGUCAGAUUAGCUAGUUGGCGAGUAACGGCUCACCAAGGCUUCGACGGGUAGCUGGUCUGAGAGGACGAUCAGCCACACUGGCACUGCGACACGGGCCAGACUCCUACGGGAGGCAGCAGUAAGGAAUAUUGCGCAAUGGGCGACAGCCUGACGCAGCGACGCCGCGUGGGGGAUGAAGGUCUUCGGGUUGUAAACUCCUUUUCGGGGGGACGAUACAGACGGUACCCCGGAACUAAGGCUCGGCUAACUACUGUGCCAGCAGCC